GCGGCGGAGGGUGAGUAACACGUGGGUAACCUGCCUGUAAGACUGGGAUAACUCCGGGAAACCGGGGCUAAUACCGGAUGGUUGUUUGAACCGCAUGGUUCAAACAUAAAAGGUGGCUUCGGCUACCACUUACAGAUGGACCCGCGGCGCAUUAGCUAGUUGGUGAGGUAACGGCUCACCAAGGCAACGAUGCGUAGCCGACCUGAGAGGGUGAUCGGCCACACUGGGACUGAGACACGGCCCAGACUCCUACGGGAGGCAGCAGUAGGGAAUCUUCCGCAAUGGACGAAAGUCUGACGGAGCAACGCCGCGUGAGUGAUGAAGGUUUUCGGAUCGUAAAGCUCUGUUGUUAGGGAAGAACAAGUACCGUUCGAAUAGGGCGGUACCUUGACGGUACCUAACCAGAAAGCCACGGCUAACUACGUGCCAGCAGCCGCGGUAAUACGUAGGUGGCAAGCGUUGUCCGGAAUUAUUGGGCGUAAAGGGCUCGCAGGCGGUUUCUUAAGUCUGAUGUGAAAGCCCCGGCUCAACCGGGGAGGGUCAUUGGAAACUGGGGAACUUGAGUGCAGAAGAGGAGAGUGGAAUUCCACGUGUAGCGGUGAAAUGCGUAGAGAUGUGGAGGAACACCAGUGGCGAAGGCGACUCUCUGGUCUGUAACUGACGCUGAGGAGCGAAAGCGUGGGGAGCGAACAGGAUUAGAUACCCUGGUAGUCCACGCCGUAAACGAUGAGUGCUAAGUGUUAGGGGGUUUCCGCCCCUUAGUGCUGCAGCUAACGCAUUAAGCACUCCGCCUGGGGAGUACGGUCGCAAGACUGAAACUCAAAGGAAUUGACGGGGGCCCGCACAAGCGGUGGAGCAUGUGGUUUAAUUCGAAGCAACGCGAAGAACCUUACCAGGUCUUGACAUCCUCUGACAAUCCUAGAGAUAGGACGUCCCCUUCGGGGGCAGAGUGACAGGUGGUGCAUGGUUGUCGUCAGCUCGUGUCGUGAGAUGUUGGGUUAAGUCCCGCAACGAGCGCAACCCUUGAUCUUAGUUGCCAGCAUUCAGUUGGGCACUCUAAGGUGACUGCCGGUGACAAACCGGAGGAAGGUGGGGAUGACGUCAAAUCAUCAUGCCCCUUAUGACCUGGGCUACACACGUGCUACAAUGGACAGAACAAAGGGCAGCGAAACCGCGAGGUUAAGCCAAUCCCACAAAUCUGUUCUCAGUUCGGAUCGCAGUCUGCAACUCGACUGCGUGAAGCUGGAAUCGCUAGUAAUCGCGGAUCUGCUGCCGCGGAUUUCC
rnacentral:rRNA from 1 species